GGCUUAGAGUUUGAUCAUGGCUCAGGAUGAACGCUGGCGGCGUGCCUAACACAUGCAAGUCGAACGGAGAUUAACGCUGAAUUGAUAAUUAGCUUGCUAAGAGGAUUUUCUUGUUAAUCUUAGUGGCGGACGGGUGAGUAACACGUGAGCAACCUGCCUUUCAGAGGGGGAUAACGGCUGGAAACGGUCGCUAAUACCGCAUGACAUAUUCGGAUGGCAUCGUCUGAAUAUCAAAGGAGCAAUCCGCUGAAAGAUGGGCUCGCGUCUGAUUAGAUAGUUGGUGAGGUAACGGCUCACCAAGUCGACGAUCAGUAGCCGGACUGAGAGGUUGAACGGCCACAUUGGGACUGAGAUACGGCCCAGACUCCUACGGGAGGCAGCAGUGGGGAAUAUUGCACAAUGGGGGAAACCCUGAUGCAGCAACGCCGCGUGAAGGAAGACGGUUUUCGGAUUGUAAACUUCUUUUCUUAGUGAAGAAGAAAGUGACGGUAGCUAAGGAAUAAGCAUCGGCUAACUACGUGCCAGCAGCCGCGGUAAUACGUAGGAUGCAAGCGUUAUCCGGAUUUACUGGGUGUAAAGGGAGCGCAGGCGGGACUGCAAGUUGGAUGUGAAACGCCGGGGCUCAACCCCGGAGCUGCAUCCAAAACUGUAGUUCUUGAGUGGAGUAGAGGCAAGCG
rnacentral:rRNA from 1 species